CCCUUAGAUGUUCUGGGCUGCACGCGCGCUACACUGAAGCUAUCAACACGUUUUCCCUCCCUGAGAAGGGCGGGUAACCUUUUGAAUCAGCUUCGUGGUAGGGAUCGGGGCUUGCAAUUGUUCCCCGUGAACCAGGAAUUCCUAGUAGACGCGAGUCAUAAGCUCGCAUCGAUUAAGUCCCUGCCCUUUGUACACACCGCCCGUCGCUACUACCGAUUGAACGUUUUAGUGAGGCAUUCGGACCGACGCAUCUCAGUUUAACCGCUGGUUUGUGUUGGAAAGACUUCCAAACUUGAGCGUUUAGAGGAAGUGAAAGUCGUAACA
rnacentral:rRNA from 1 species